UUGGGUUGAUCUUACCAGUAUUCAUAUGCUUGUCUCAAAGAUUAAGCCAUUUAAAUAUAAACUGAUUCAGACUAUGAAACUAUGAAUGGCUUAUUAUAUCAAUUAUAAUUUGUUUGAUCAUAUCUAUAACUUGGAUAGCAAUAAUGAUUCUAGAGCUAAUACUUGCAACAAACCCCAACUUCUAGAAAGGAUGCAUUUAUUAGAUAAAAGGUUGAUACAAGCUUUGCUCGUUGCUCUGAUGAUUCUUGAUAACUCAGCAGAUUACACGACCUUUAUGCAGUGAUGCAUCAUUGAAAUUUCUACCCUAUCAACUUUUGAUGGUAGGAUAUUGGCCUACUAUGGUAGUAACAAGUAAUGAAUAAGAAUUAGGAUUGAUUCUAGAGAGGGAGCUUUAAAAAUGGCUACCACAUCCAAGGAAGGCAGCAAGCAUGCAAAUUACCAAAUCUUGACAUAGGGAGGUAGUGAUAAUAAAUAACAAUAUCGAGCUCUACAAAUCUGGUAAUUGGAAUGAGUGCAAUCUAAAUCCCUUAACAAGGAUCCAUUGCAGGGUAAGUUUGGUGCCAAUAGCCACGAUAAUUUUAGCUCUAAUAGCAUAUAUUUAAGUCAUUACAAUUAAAAAGCUCGUAGUUAGAACUAGGGUUGUGUCAUCCGAUGUGCCUCACAAUAAAGAUCAGUUUAUUUAUCCCUACUACAGGUGACAUGUUCCUAGCCUUAGUUGGUCGGGUCAUUCCUUUAAUGCUAUUACUUUGAAGACAUUAAAGGCUCAAAGUAGGCCUACGUUUGUAUACAUUAGCAUAAGAUAACAUCAUAGGAUUUUGGUCCAAUUGUGUUGGCCUUUGGGAUCAAAGUACUAAUUAAUAGGGAUAGUUGGGGGCAUUCAUAUUUCAUAGUCAAAGGUGAAAUUAUUGGAUUUAUAAAAGACGAACAAUAUGUUUUCUUUAAUCAAGAAUAAAAGUUAGGUGCUCGAAGAUGAUUGGAUACCAUCCUAAUCUCAACCAUAAACGAUGUUAACCAAGGAUCGGUGGAUGUUACUUUUAGGACUCCAUCGACACCUUAUGAGAAGUCAAAGUCUUUAGGUUUCAGGCUGAGUAUGGUCGCAAGGUUGAAACUUAAAGGAAUUGAUGGAAGGGUACCAUAAGGAGUGGAGCCUGCAGUUUGAUUUGACUCAACAUAGGGAAACUUACUAAGUCCAAACAUAGUAAGGAUUAACAAAUUGAGAGCUCUAUCUUGAUUCUAUGGGUGGUGGUGCAUGGCCAUUCUUAGUUGGUGGAGCAAUUUGUCCAAUUAAUUUCAUUAGCGAAUGAGACGUCAGCCUACUCACUAGCUACAUGGAAAUGAUCCUUUAUGGCUAGCUUCUUAAAGGGACUAUGGCCACUUAAGCCAAAGAAGUUUAAGGGCCAAGGAAGUUUAAGGCAAUAAUAGGUUUGUGAUGCCCUUAAAUGCUCUAGGCUGCACAUGCACUACAUUGAUGUAUUCAAUGAGUUUAUAGCCUUGGCUGACAAGCCCAAGUAAUUUUUGAAAUUUUAUCAUGAUAGGGAUAGAUCAUUGUAAUUAUUGGUCUUCAACGAGGAAUUCCUAGUAAGCUAGAGUCAUCAACUUGCAUUGACUAUAUCUCUACCAUUUGCACACACCACCCAUUUUUCCUAUCAAUUGAAUGAUCUAGCGAAGUGUUCAAAUCAUGGCAAUGUGCACGGUCCAUUGCUUAUGACAUCACAAUAAGUCCACUGAACCUGAUCAUUUAGUGGAAUGAGAAGUCGUAAUAAGGUUUUCGUAGGUGAACCUGGAGAAA
rnacentral:rRNA from 1 species